rnacentral:rRNA from 1 species
GUAGGUGAACCUGCGGAAGGAUCAUUACCGUGAUGAUGACGUUGGCGAGUCGUUUGCGCGACUAGUCUUCGAUCAACGCACACACGCACAUCUCGUACGGACAGCGUAAAAGGCGAGCCCGAAAGGCUGGCCGCCGAAAACGACACGGUUGUCGCGCGUUUCGGGGUACCUGGCCGGCGCCGUCUAUGCGCCGGGGGAGCGGCGGACGAUGACUUGGCGUUUUGCGACUCGUCUAUUCGUGAUCCGAGGGUCACCGACCGCACGGCGACGGUUCAAAGAACUAACCGACUACUGCUGCAGCAGCAUCGACAGCGUCGAGUGCUUCGCGCAGUCGGUCCGUCGCCCCGUACGCGCGUAUGUUUUUCCGUCUUACUUUUCACUACAGUCGCUAUACGAAUCGUCUUCGUCGUCGGCGUUCGAACGUCGGCGGCGACGACCGAGUUCUGUGACAGACAAAUAUCAUAAAACUCUAAGCGGUGGAUCACUCGGCUCGUGUGUCGAUGAAGAGCGCAGCCAGCUGCGUGAAGUAAUGUGAAUUGCAGGACACAUUGAACAUCGAUAUCUUGAACGCACAUUGCGGCCUCGGGCAUUCUCGAGGCCACGCCUGUCUCAGGGUCGGUUGAAAGUAUCUAUCGCGAGUCGUCUCUUGCUCGCGCAGUGGACCGUCGCGGUGGUGGUGGCGGCGUAACAACGUUCGGUCGUCUCUUGCCGUUCGUCGUCUACUAGCCUGCCGUCGCGUCGUCCGAAAUUCAGACGGUUCGCGUCGUUUGCGCGACGCGAUACCGCACGUCUCGAUACCGCUUCGUCGAUGUAUCAGCAGCGGGACGGUUGCUCGGAUGCUCUCUGCUGCUCAUCUGCAGAGUUGUUCUAAGAGCCGUUGUCGCUGCUGUGCUGCUGUCGUCGUCGUCGGUGAGGCGCGCUCUCGACUACAUAUAAACAACGAUUUUUCGACCUGAGAUCAGACGAGAUCACCCGCUGAAUUU